UACGUAGGGGGCAAGCGUUAUCCGGAUUUACUGGGUGUAAAGGGAGCGUAGACGGCAAUGCAAGUCUGGAGUGAAAGGCGGGGGCCCAACCCCCGGACUGCUCUGGAAACUGUAUAGCUGGAGUGCAGGAGAGGUAAGUGGAAUUCUUAGUGUAGCGGUGAAAUGCGUAGAUAUUAGGAGGAACACCAGUGGCGAAGGCGGCUUACUGGACUGUAACUGACGUUGAGGCUCGAAAGCGUGGGGAGCAAACAGG
rnacentral:rRNA from 1 species